UAGCAAUGCAUUGUCCUUUUGCUUCCUGG
rnacentral:piRNA from 1 species